rnacentral:rRNA from 1 species
CGUCUAUAUACGUAUAGCAUAUCAAUAAGCGGAGGAAAAGAAACUAACUAGGAUUCCCUCAGUAACGGCGAGUGAAGCGGGAAGAGCUCAAAUUUGAAAUCUUCAAGGUUUUACCUUGACGAAUUGUAGUUUAAAGAAGUGUUUUCUGUUGGAAUUUUGGUAAAAGUUCUUUGGAAAAAGACAUCAAAGAGGGUGAGAAUCCCGUAUUUGACCAUUAUUUCCAGCUUUGUGAUACACUUUCAAAGAGUCGGAUUGUUUGGGAAUGCAGUCCAAAAUGGGUGGUAAAUUUCAUCUAAAGCUAAAUACUGGCGAGAGACCGAUAGCGAACAAGUACCGUGAGGGAAAGAUGAAAAGAACUUUGAAAAGAGAGUUAAACAGUACGUGAAAUUGUCAAAAGGGAAGCGUUUGACACCAGUGUUGUUUUCUCGAAAAUCAAUUAAAAAUGGCGGGAUUUUGUGUUGUAUUGACUUUAUCAGCUUUCUGCACUUUUUUCCUAUCUUUUUUAAUGCACUUUUCGUUUAACAAGUCAACAUCAAUUUCUUUUGUUGUAAAAGGGUCAUUGGAAGGUGGCUUUCUUUUCGGAGAAAGUGUUUAUAGCCUUUGGCUUCUGCAAUCGGAGAGAUUGAGGUCUGCAGCGUAGAUCCUUCGGGGUUAGAUACAUUUGUGCUAAGUUAUAGCCUUUCAUAGACAACUUGUUGACUAUGAUCAGUCAUGUAGCUUACUCGCUUAUGCUAUUUUACCUACGCUUAGGAUGUUGACGAUCAGCGAGCGCG